UCUCCCUGCAAUGGGCAAAGAGACACCUUGUUGGUGGUGGUGUUCUUCUAUCAGUGAGGGCAGGGCAGGUGACAACUUGUUCAUCCUAGCUCGAUGCCUGACUUGGUGGCCAAGCUGUUUUAUUACUAAGAUAUAUAA